rnacentral:rRNA from 1 species
GGAGUGCGGUCGCAAGAUUAAAACUCAAAGGAAUAGACGGGGACCCGCACAAGUGGUGGAGCAUGUGGUUUAAUUCGAAGAUACGCGAAGAACCUUACCUAGCCUUGACAUAUUUUAGAACACUUUAGAGAUAGAGUGGUGCCUUCGGGAGCUAAUAUACAGGUGCUGCACGGCUGUCGUCAGCUCGUGUCGUGAGAUGUUGGGUUAAGUCCCGCAACGAGCGCAACCCUCGUCACUAGUUACUAACGGUUCGGCCGAGGACUCUAGUGAGACUGCCUUCGUAAGGAGGAGGAAGGUGAGGACGACGUCAAGUCAUCAUGGCCCUUACGGCUAGGGCAACACACGUGCUACAAUGGCCAGGACAAUGAGACGCGAUACCGCGAGGUGGAGCAAAUCUAUAAACCUGGUCUCAGUUCGGAUUGUAGUCUGCAACUCGACUACAUGAAGCUGGAAUCACUAGUAAUCGUAGAUCAGCUAUGCUACGGUGAAUACGUUCCCGGGUCUUGUACACACCGCCCGU